CGAAGGAGUGACGGAGACGGAUAGUGUGACCCUCUUAAUGGAUUGAGGGCGAAGCGAAGCGGCUGGUUACCAGGCAAAUCCGGUAACCAUAAGGCUAGAUCGUGACGGGUAAGCGAAAUCUUAGGAAAGUAGCGAAGCACAUGAUGACGGCUUCCAGGAAAAGCUUCUGGCAAUGCAUAUGCGGCCCGUACCAAAACCGACACAGGUGGGCAGGGAGAGAAUCCCGAGGUGAGCGAGAGAACUGUUGCCAAGGAACUCGGCAAAAUGACUCCGUAAGUUAGCGAGAAGGAGUGCUUAAGCAAUUAAGCCGCAGUGAAGAGGCCCAAGCGACUGUUUAACUAAAACACAGCUCUCUGCGAAGUCGCAAGACGAAGUAUAGGGGGUGACACCUGCCCGGUGCUGGAAGGUUAAGAGGAUCUGUUAAGAGCGAUCUGAAGCAGUGAUCCGAAGCCCCAGUGAACGGCGGCCGUAACUAUAACGGCCCUAAGGUAGCGAAAUUCCUUGUCAGGUAAGGUCUGACCCGCACGAAAGGUGUAACGAUUUGGGCGCUGUCUCGGCAGCAGACUCGGUGAAAUCUUAGUACCUGUGAAAAUGCAGGUUACCCGCAACUAGACGGAAAGACCCCAUGGAGCUUUACUGCAGCCUGAUAUUGAAUUCUGGUCAUACAUGUACAGGAUAGGUGGGAGACAAAGAGACGUGCACGCCAGUGUACGAGGAGUCGACGUUGGGAUACCACUCUUGUGUGACUGGGGUUCUAACCUGGUAUCGAGAACAGGUACGGGGAGAGUGUCAGGUGGGCAGUUUGACUGGGGCGGUCGCCUCCCAAAGAGUAACGGAGGCGCCCAAAGGUACGCUCAGAUUGGAUGGAAACCAAUCGUCGAGUGCAAUUGCAGAAGCGUGCUUGACUGUGAGACAGACGAGUCGAACAGGGACGAAAGUCGGGAAUAGUGAUCCGGCGGUGCCGAAUGGAAGGGCCGUCGCUCAACGGAUAAAAGCUACCCUGGGGAUAACAGCUGAUCUCGCCCAAGAGUUCACAUCGAUGGCGAGGUUUGGCACCUCGAUGUCGGCUCAUCGCAUCCUGGAGCUGGAUUCGGUUCCAAGGGUUGGGCUGUCCGCCCAUUAAAGCGGUACGCGAGCUGGGUUCAGAACGUCGUGAGACAGUUCGGUCCCUAUCUGUUGUGGGCGAAGGAGAUCUGCGGAGAGCUGUCCUCAGUACGAGAGGACCGGGAUGGACCUACCGCUGGUGCACCGGUUGUUCCGCCAGGGGCAUAGCCGGGUAGCUAAGUAGGGAAAGGAUAAGCGCUGAAAGCAUCUAAGCACGAAGCCUACUCCAAGAUGAGAUCUCCCAUUCGCAAGAAGUAAGACCCCUUAAAGACGAUAAGGUAGAUAGGCCAGGGAUGGAAGUGCAGUGAUGUACGGAGUUGACUGGUACUAAUCGGUCGAGGACUUAAU
rnacentral:rRNA from 1 species